AACAAAUUUACAUUUUUCUUGAAUUUUGAAAAAAAAAAGAAAAACUGCUGCUCAACUCACGCAAUAGCCAAAGUUUGAGUGUUGAAAAUGAAAAUUUGUAAAUAUUGCGUUAAAUGUAUUUUAAAUUACUUUUUUUUGGUCUACUACUCCUCUCGCCUUUUUUCUACUUUUUGUUCAUGUUGGUUCCACACAAAGCAACUGCAGCAACAGUAACACUUUGUGUAUGAGUGAGUCCUGCUAAACAACAAUAAUAAUAAAAAAUGGAAAUAAAAAAUAACAAAAAAACAGCAACAAUAUGAAAAUGCUAAUGUUUCUCUUCUGUUCAUAUUAUUUUUUUUUUUGUUUAAGUCGUAAAAAAUCAAUGUAGAAUGAAAAAUAUGAACAACAAACCGAACCGGAUGUAAUUUUUAAGUUGUUUCUUGUAACAGAAGUGUAUCAGAGAGGAAAAAAAUACCCACACAAGCACAACUUUCUUUUGUCGACAUUUGCCGCAACCAUGGAGACAUACAUACACGUUUUCAAAAGUAUUAAAAUAAUGAUGGAAUAUAAGAAAUUUUUUAGUUACUACAUUUUUCGCAUGCCGCCGCCAUCACUGUGGGUCCAACGAAAUCAAAAAGCCAAUUUGAUUAUUAAACCAGAUAUACAAAUAAACUAAAUGAGAAUUAUACAACUUUAAAACUUUCGAGUUGAUUAGUAUCAUCUUAGUAUAGUUUUCUCUUGUUUAGAAUGGAGUUUUUGAAGACAAAGUCAACUUUUCUUCGCUGACAGUGAUUUAUUGAUUGAAAGAUUAAUAUAAACUCACUGUUUGCGAUAAUAUGUAAAGAAGAGCGAGAAAACUGAUUUCUAGUUAGAAAAGUGUUGACUUUAGAGAC